rnacentral:rRNA from 1 species
GGGCCCGCACAAGCGGUGGAGCAUGUGGUUUAAUUCGACGCAACGCGAAGAACCUUACCUGGGCUCGAACGGCUCACGAAAGUCCUUGGAAACAGGGAAUUCCCGCAAGGGACGGGAGUCGAGGUGCUGCAUGGCUGUCGUCAGCUCGUGUCGUGAGAUGUUGGGUUAAGUCCCGCAACGAGCGCAACCCUUGUCCUGUGUUGCUAAAUCUGAAAAGGAAGCACUCUCAGGAGACCGCCAGCGAUAAGCUGGAGGAAGGUGGGGAUGACGUCAAGUCAUCAUGGCCUUUAUGUCCAGGGCUACACACGUGCUACAAUGGGCGGUACAAAGCGCGGCAAACCCGCAAGGGGGAGCAAAUCGCAAAAAACCGUUCUCAGUUCGGAUUGCAGGCUGCAACUCGCCUGCAUGAAGCUGGAAUCGCUAGUAAUGGCAUAUCAGAACGAUGCCGUGAAUACGUUCCCGGGCCUU